rnacentral:rRNA from 1 species
AACGAACGCUGGCGGCGUGCCUAACACAUGCAAGUCGAACGAGACCUUCCUGUUUUUUUGCGCACUUGUGCUUAAGGCGUGGUAACUUGCCCUUAGGUUCGGUAUCACUCCCUUAAAGGGGUGCUAAUACCGGUUAGUCUCUUCCGACCAAAGAUUUCUUGCCUCUGGAUGGGCCCGGGUUGGAUUCGCUAGUUGGUAGGGUAAAAGCCUUCCAAGGCGACGAUCCAUGGCUGGUCUGAGUGGAUGAUCAGCCACACUGGCACUGAGACCCGGCCCAGUCUCCUAGGGGAGGCAGCGGUGGUGAAUAUUGGACCCUGGGCCCAAGCCUGAUCCAGCCAUGCCCCGUGAGUGAUGAUGGCCUUAGGGUUGUAAAGCCCCUUUACCCGGGAUGAUAUUGACAGUACCGGGCGAAUAAGCUCUGGCUAACUCCUUG